CGUGUAGGUGGCUUUGUAGGUCAGAUGUGAAAGCCCCGGGCUUAACUCGGGAAUUGCGUUUGAAACCACAGGGCUUGAGGCUGGGAGAGGAAAGCGGAAUUCCUGGUGUAGCGGUGAAAUGCGUAGAUAUCAGGAGGAACACCAGUGGCGAAGGCGGCUUUCUGGACCAGUACUGACACUGAUACGCGAAAGCAUGGGGAGCGAACG
rnacentral:rRNA from 1 species